CCUACGGGUGGCAGCAGUGAGGAAUAUUGGUCAAUGGACGCAAGUCUGAACCAGCCAAGUAGCGUGCAGGAUGACGGCCCUCCGGGUUGUAAACUGCUUUUAGUUGGGAAUAAAAGGGGGCUCGUGAGCCCCGUCUUGUAUGUACCAUCAGCAAAAGGACCGGCUAAUUCCGUGCCAGCAGCCGCGGUAAUACGGAGGGUCCGGGCGUUAUCCGGAUUUAUUGGGUUUAAAGGGAGCGUAGGCCGGCUUUUAAGUCAGCUGUGAAAGUCCGCGGCUCAACCGUGGAAUUGCAGUUGAAACUGGAGACCUUGAGUGCACAAAGGGAUGACGGAAUUCAUGGUGUAGCGGUGAAAUGCUUAGAUAUCAGGAAGAACACCGAUGGCGAAGGCGAGUGUCCGGGGGGCAACUGACGCUGAGGCUCGAAAGUGCGGGGAGCAAACAGGAUUAGAUACCCGAGUAGUC
rnacentral:rRNA from 1 species